AGUGAACGCUGGCGGUAGGCCUAACACAUGCAAGUCGAACGGCAGCACAGUAAGAGCUUGCUCUUACGGGUGGCGAGUGGCGGACGGGUGAGGAAUACAUCGGAAUCUACUUUUUCGUGGGGGAUAACGUAGGGAAACUUACGCUAAUACCGCAUACGACCUACGGGUGAAAGCAGGGGAUCUUCGGACCUUGCGCGAUUGAAUGAGCCGAUGUCGGAUUAGUUAGUUGGCGGGGUAAAGGCCCACCAAGGCGACGAUCCGUAGCUGGUCUGAGCGGAUGGCCAGCCACACUGGAACUGAGACACGGCCAAGCUUCCUAGGGGAGGCAGAGGUGGGAAUAUUGGACAAAGGGCGCAAGCCUGAUCCAGCCAUACCGCGUGGGUGAAGAAGGCCUUCGGGUUGUAAAGCCCUUUUGUUGGGAAAGAAAAGCAGCAGGUUAAUACCCCGCUGUUCUGACGGUACCCAAAGAAUAAGCACCGGCUAACUUCGUG
rnacentral:rRNA from 1 species